rnacentral:rRNA from 1 species
GGAUAACCGUAGUAAUUCUAGAGCUAAUACAUGUAUAAAGUCUUGUAGACUGCAUUUAUUAGAAUGAAAACCAUAGGUUUCGGCCUAUUCGUGAGUAAUAAUAACUAAUCAUAUCGUAUGCUUACGUAACGAUGUGUCUUUCAAGUUUCUGCCCUAUCAGCUUUCGAUGGUAGUGUAUUGGACUACCAUGGCAGUAACGGGUAACGAAGAAUUUGGGUUCGAUUUCGGAGAGGGAGCCUGAGAGAUGGCUACCACAUCCAAGGAAGGCMGCAGGCGCGUAAAUUACCCAAUCCUGACACAGGGAGGUAGUGACAAUAAAUCACAAUGCG